rnacentral:rRNA from 1 species
GAUGAACGCUGGCGGCGUGCCUAAUACAUGCAAGUCGAGCGAACGGACGAGAAGCUUGCUUCUCUGAUGUUAGCGGCGGACGGGUGAGUAACACGUGGAUAACCUACCUAUAAGACUGGGAUAACUUCGGGAAACCGGAGCUAAUACCGGAUAAUAUUUUGAACCGCAUGGUUCAAAAGUGAAAGACGGUCUUGCUGUCACUUAUAGAUGGAUCCGCGCUGCAUUAGCUAGUUGGUAAGGUAACGGCUUACCAAGGCAACGAUGCAUAGCCGACCUGAGAGGGUGAUCGGCCACACUGGAACUGAGACACGGUCCAGACUCCUACGGGAGGCAGCAGUAGGGAAUCUUCCGCAAUGGGCGAAAGCCUGACGGAGCAACGCCGCGUGAGUGAUGAAGGUCUUCGGUUCGUAAAACUCUGUUAUUAGGGAAGAACAUAUGUGUAAGUAACUGUGCACAUCUUGACGGUACCUAAUCAGAAAGCCACGGCUAACUACGU